GUUUUCUAAAGCGGUCACAGACAAGAAAUAACGCAUUGCACAGAAAAUUUUAUACAUAUUUAAAGUUUUUGCCAAAAUGUUAAUACGUUGGAAAAGUAAAGAUAAAAGUUCAUCGAAUCAGAGCAGCAGCAGCAGCAGCAGCUCCUCGAAAAAGAAACGCAAAGGACGUGAAGGAGAAGAAGACUGGCAGAAUGAAAGUAAACCCGGCAGAGCACCAACAAAUGAACAGAGUAA